GUGUUGUGAGAAAAAUAUUUGUGUUGGAGACUUUUAGUCUUUGAUGACUUACACUACCCUCUAAAAAGUUCUGAGCAC
rfam:Capsicum annuum cultivar Zunla-1 chromosome 4, whole genome shotgun sequence